rnacentral:rRNA from 1 species
AUAUUAAAGUUGUUGCAGUUAAAAAGCUCGUAGUUGGACCUUGGGCCUGGACGGGCGGUCCGCCUCACGGCGUGUACUGUCUUGCCGGGCCUUUCCUCUUGGUGAUCUGUUGUUUCGGCAGCAGGGAACCAGGACCUUUACUUUGAAAAAAUUAGAGUGUUCAAAGCAGGCUCGACGCCGGAAUAUAUUAGCAUGGAAUAAUAAAAUAGGACGUGCGGUUCUAUUUUGUUGGUUUUUGGAAUCGCCGUAAUGAUUAAUAGGGACAGUCGGGGGCAUUAGUACUCACAUGCUA